rnacentral:tRNA from 1 species
GCCGUUAUAGCUCAGCUGGUAGAGCGCAUCCAUGGUAAGGAUGAGGUCCCCGGUUCAAUCCCGGGUAACGGCUCCA